AAGAAAAUGAGAAAAACUCAAACCAGACCUGAAUAGCCAGCCAGCCAAAUACAGUAGCUUCCAGAUAGUGGGAUGAACACUUCCACCCAGCUGUGGAAGAACAAGAAGUGAUUGAUGGAAAUUUCAAAGAAGUUUUAGACCUGAUAUGAGGAAAGGCAACCAAACAAUCAGAAUUGUCCAAAAGUGGAAGGGGUUUUCAACUUGUAGGUUUCCUCUCACUAGGAAUCUUCAGGCAGAAAAUGGAUGGUCAUUUGUCAAUGAUACUAUUGGAAGCUUUCUUCAGAAACCAGAAGCCUGUGGGUUGUUCAGUGUCUGAAGGACAUUGUUGAUGGAGGAGAUUACCCAGAUGCCUAGGGGUUCAUGCUUUUCAAUCCUGUUUGAGAAACCCCACCCAGCUAGAGAAUCUUAUAAAAAU